rnacentral:rRNA from 2 species
UUAAACGGCCGCGGUAUUUUGACCGUGCGAAGGUAGCGCAAUCACUUGUCUUUUAAAUGAAGACCUGUAUGAAUGGUGGAACGAGGGCUUAACUGUCUCCCCUUUCAAGUCAAUGAAAUUGAUCUGCCCGUGCAGAAGCGGGCAUACAAAUACAAGACGAGAAGACCCUUUGGAGCUUAAGAUACAAGAUCAACUAUGUCAAGAACCCUAAAAGUUAAACUAAAUAGCAACUGAUCCUUAUCUUCGGUUGGGGCGACCGCGGGAGAAAAUAAAGCUCCCACGCGGACUGGGGUUAAUCCCCUAAAACCAAGAAAGACAUUUCUAAGUCACAGAAUAUUUGACCACAAAGAUCCGGCUUACAACUGCCGACCAACGGACCAAGUUACCCUAGGGAUAACAGCGCAAUCCCCUUCCAGAGUCCAUAUCGACAAGGGGGUUUACGACCUCGAUGUUGGAUCAGGACAUCCUAAUGGUG